AUACGUAGGUGGCAAGCGUUAUCCGGAUUUACUGGGUGUAAAGGGCGCGUAGGCGGGCAUGUAAGUCAGAUGUGAAAUUUAUGGGCUUAACCCAUAACCUGCAUUUGAAACUGCGUGUCUUGAGUGAUGGAGAGGUAAGUGGAAUUCCUAGUGUAGCGGUGGAAUGCGUAGAUAUUAGGAGGAACACCAGUGGCGAAGGCGACUUACUGGACAUUAACUGACGCUGAGGCGCGAAAGCGUGGGGAGC
rnacentral:rRNA from 1 species